UGGGGAAUAUUGGACAAUGGGGGCAACCCUGAUCCAGCCAUGCCGCGUGUGUGAAGAAGGCCUUUUGGUUGUAAAGCACUUUAAGCAGUGAAGAAGACUCUAUGGUUAAUACCCAUAGACGAUGACAUUAGCUGCAGAAUAAGCACCGGCUAACUCUGUGCCAGCAGCCGCGGUAAUACAGAGGGUGCAAGCGUUAAUCGGAAUUACUGGGCGUAAAGCGAGCGUAGGUGGCUUAAUAAGUCAGAUGUGAAAUCCCCGGGCUUAACCUGGGAACUGCAUCUGAUACUGUUGGGCUAGAGUAGGUGAGAGGGAGGUAGAAUUUCAGGUGUAGCGGUGAAAUGCGUAGAGAUCUGAAGGAAUACCGAUGGCGAAGGCAGCCUCCUGGCAUCAUACUGACACUGAGGUUCGAAAGCGUGGGUAGCAAACA
rnacentral:rRNA from 1 species